GACGAACGCUGGCGGCGUGCUUAACACGUGCAAGUCGAACGGUGAAGCUCCAGCUUGCUGGAGUGGAUCAGUGGCGAACGGGUGAGUAACACGUGAGCAACCUGCCCCUGACUCUGGAAUAAGCGCUGGAAACGGCGUCUAAUACUGGAUACGAGAAGGGCCCGCAUGGGCACUUUCUGGAAAGUUUUUCGGUUGGGGAUGGGCUCGCGGCCUAUCAGCUUGCUGGUGAGGUAAUGGCUCACCAAGGCGACGACGGGUAGCCGGCCUGAGAGGGCGACCGGCCACACUGGGACUGAGACACGGCCCAGACUCCUACGGGAGGCAGCAGUGGGGAAUAUUGCACAAUGGGCGAAAGCCUGAUGCAGCGACGCCGCGUGAGGGAUGACGGCCUUCGGGUUGUAAACCUCUUUCAGCAGGGAAGAAGCGAAAGUGACGGUACCUGCAGAAGAAGCACCGGCUAACUACGUG
rnacentral:rRNA from 1 species